rnacentral:rRNA from 1 species
UACGGAGGGUGCAAACGUUGUCCGGAAUUACUGGGCGUAAAGCGCAUGUAGGUGGCUUUUUAAGUGAAUGAUUAAAGACCGUCGCUUAACGACGGGACUGUUGUUCAAACUAUUGAGCUUGAGGAUAGCAGGGGUAAGCGGAACUUUGAGUGUAGGAGUGAUAUCCGUAGAUAUUCAAAGGAACACCAAUGGCGAAGGCAGCUUACUGGGCUAUUUCUGACACUGAGAUGCGAAAGCGUGGGGAGCAAACGGG